rnacentral:rRNA from 1 species
GGGGGGGGGGGGGGGGGGGCGGGGGGGAGGGAGGGCGGGCGAGGGGACGAGAAGCUUGGGUCACUGGUGUUAGCGGGGGACGGGUGCGUAAAACGGGGCGAACCUCCCUAUAAGACGGGGAGAAGUUCUGGCAACCGGAGCUAAGACCGGAUCAUAUGUUAAACCGGAUGGUGCAAAAGUAAAAGCAGGUAUUGCUGGCCCUACACGAUGGAGCCGCGCUGCAUUAACUAGUUGGUAAGGUAACGGCUUACCAAGGCAACGAUGCAAAGCCGACCUGAGAGGGUGAUCGCCCACACUGGAACUGAGACACGGUCCAGACUCCUACGGGAGGCAGCAGUAGGGAAUCUUCCGCAAUGGGCGAAAGCCUGACGGAGCAACGCCGCGUGAGUGAUGAAGGUCUUCGGAUCGUAAAACUCUGUUAUUAGGGAAGAACAUAUGUGUAAGUAACUGUGCACAUCUUGACGGUACCUAAUCAGAAAGCCACGGCUAACUACGUG